GGGGCUGUGUGAGCUGUGGCCGCACAGUGCCCCAUGGUAGUUAGGAUGCCGUGCUGUGUGACUGUCUGUCUGUAACUGAGUGUGUGACUGUCUGCCUGUAAAUGUGUGUGUGGGGCUGCAGGGAUUUUGUAGAAGGGGGCAGGGGUUUUGUAUUGGGACAGGAGUCUUUAUAA